CUAAUGCCGGAUAUUGUGUCCUACUGCAUAGUAGGUUAACGAAGGAUUUAUCGUUGUGGGAUGAGCUCGCGUCCGAUUAGCUAGUUGGCGGGGUAAUAGCCCACCAAGGCGACGAUCGGUAGCCGGCCUGAGAGGGUGAUCGGCCACAUUGGGACUGAGAUACGGCCCAGACUCCUACGGGAGGCAGCAGUAGGGAAUAUUGCGCAAUGGGGGGAACCCUGACGCAGCAACGCCACGUGUGGGAAGAAGCAUUUCGGUGUGUAAACCACUGUCGGAAAGGAAUAACGGAAGACUUCGGUCUUUAUGAAUGUACUUUUAGAGGAAGCACCGGCAAACUUCGUGCCAACAGCCGCGGUAAUACGAGGGGUGCAAGCGUUGUUCGGAAUCACUGGGCGUAAAGGGAGCGUANGCGGAAGUGCAAGCAAUCUGUAUAAUCCUGGGGCCCAACCCCAGUUUCUGCAGAUUGGACUGUAUUUCUUGAAUAGUUCA
rnacentral:rRNA from 1 species